AGCGGCGCAAGGGUGCGUAACACGUGGGUAAUCUGCCAGGAAGCCCGGGAUAACUUGCUGAAAGGCGAGCUAAUACCGGAUGCGACGGUGGCAUCUAAAGUUGCACUUCCUGAUGAACCCGCGGCCUAUCAGCUAGUUGGUGAGGUAACGGCCCACCAAGGCGAAGACGGGUAGCUGGUCUGAGAGGACGACCAGCCACACUGGAACUGAGACACGGUCCAGACACCUACGGGUGGCAGCAGUCGAGAAUUUUUCACAAUGGGCGCAAGCCUGAUGGAGCGACGCCGCGUGGGGGAUGAAUGGCUUCGGCCCGUAAACCCCUGUCAUUCGCGACAACUGAUAGUAGCGGAAGAGGAAGGGACGGCUAACUCUGUGCCAGCAGCCGCGGUAAUACAGAGGUCCCAAGCGUUGUUCGGAUUCACUGGGCGUAAAGGGUGCGUAGGUGGCCGGGUAAGUCGGAUGUGAAAUCUCGGAGCUCAACUCCGAAAUGGCAUUGGAAAC
rnacentral:rRNA from 1 species